CAUAGCUCUGGUGGCGCAGGACCCAUUUGCCUGCACGGAGUGGUUCAGACCCAUUAUAGGCACAUCCUGUUCGUGGCCGCAUUUGUCUGCAUUGAGCUGAUGAAAGUAUCGUCACCAUGAAGAGCAGCAAUAAAACGAGCCUGACACCCACGGCCUCGGAUGUUCCUCUGCGGAGCAGGGAGGUUCUGAUGCAGAGCGAGGCUAUGCCAGGAAAGCCUGAACCCCUCCCCAGCCCCCCAGCCCCAAGCGUUUCUCGAAGAGACUGAGCUUGGGGAUAUAAGCAAAAGAGCUCCGGGCUGCAGGACUGCGACCCAGGUGAGCAUCAGAGGGAAGAGGGUCAUCCUUUCGAGAAGAGCCAAGCGUGCCUGGGCUGGACUGCGAUGGCGGGAACAUCAAGGAAUCAAAGCUUAAGGAGAGGGCCUCUCAGGUAAGCCCUGAUCCAGCAGUGGCACCCCAGUGGGGUUACUGUGUGGGGUGGAGGGUCUCCCCACUCUUCCCACCUUAUUUAGAAGCUGUUAGAUCAACGGAAUCCCUGGACAAGUAAGAGAUGUUGGGUGUACAGGGAAGGCUGCUUCAUGCGCCUCUGGGGCCAGCCUUACUCAUCCGCCCCGGCUCGUGGGAAAGGAUCCCGGCACUGUCCACCUGCUUUCAUUUAAUCUCAUAAGGAUCCCAUAAGCAGGUGCUCUUAGCCACCAAUGUCUUUCUAAAUCCAGGCCCUGAGUCUCCCCAGAUUCCAGCUCCAACUUCAGGCAAGGACAGGGGUUACAGGCAGAAAAUUAAGGAAGGUAUAGAUGAAACAGUAGGCAUCUUUCGUGCCCUGACGACUAUGAAAUAGUUAGGGGUGAGUAGGCCCGACUGCCCGAAACGCAAAUAAACAAGCGGAGGCCCGAAGACCGGCCAUUUGGUCAGUGCGGUGGGAGCCGGGGGGGCUCUCCUGCUCUCGGGAAGCAACUUCCUGACUCCAGCGUGGCACUCGUCGCGCGAAUCAGCCAACCACAGACGCACCAGAAGGGCUGCAAUCUGGCCCUGACGUGGCAGGGGUAACUGGCACUUCGUUCGCCACUGGCAAGGAGACGCGUGUUUGCAGGAAAGCGAUCCCUUUGCUAACACUCAGUACUUUUCAAAGUCAUUUCUCAAUCUUCGGAGCCUUAUGGCUACUUUUGCUCUGAGUGGAGUGCUGCGUCUGCCUUACCCACGCCUUCUGGCCUCCGGAAGCGGACUUUCUGGGUUGGCGUCUGCCUUCUGCCCAUUCCCAAAUGGGAGGCAUUGAACAAAAUACUGAAACUCUUCUUGCCUCAGUUUUCUCAUCAAUACAAUGGGUUUGUUUUUGAGGAUUAAAUGGAAAACAAAAAAAGGCAGGGUAAGUGCUCACUGUUGGUCUAUUGUCCGUUUUCAGUAAAUAUCAGUUUUUAUCAAUAAGGUCCGGUGGAUAUGAGUCCACUGGGAAGAUGUAUUUGGAAACGUUGUGUGAACACAAGUAUGUCAUGAAUCCGCUCUUACGAUUUGUCCUGCGUUCUUCGUCUCUGGAACUAGCACAGAGAAGAUAGGUGCUGUUUUCCAGGACACCCGAGAUUCCUGGACGUGGAGAAAUGCAGGACUGUGCGCCAGGUCACCGGGUGUCGGACGGAAGGGUGAUUCCCAUAUUACGGAAGCUUCUUUUAACACAUGGUUAUGGGGCCCGGGCAUGACACGGGGCCUCCCAAGGGCCUGGAUCCCCAAUGUCAGAGCCUGGGUUUGGGGGCCUCCCCCCAACAUCUCUCAUGUCUUACUUUCUCGUGGCCUCUUCUGUGCCUACCUGCUCACGUCUGGGGCAACAGACCCCGGCCCUUUACCAUUUUUCUCCAUAAAUGAAUUUCACUCAGGAGAUGGAUUGUGGAAAACUCUCCUGCGGGUCUGAGGAGUCACUGGGAGCGACCCUACAGAACAGCUCACAGUCUCCCCCAUCUCCCUGCUCUUCCACCCCGAACGGGGCUGCCUUGGCAAUGGCUGACAGCACAUCAGUGACUUUCCUGCCUCCUGCAGCCCCCUGGGAAAUGGAGUCCAGCCCCACCACCUCGCCUGGUUAGAGGUGUUCAAGAAAGUCAGGCCCACGGACCCGAGCUCUGCUUCUGCCGUCUCUGGGUUCAAAUCCAGGGUCUUCAGCUUCCUAACAAUCUUGACCAAGACACUGAAGUUCUCUGCACAUCUGUUUCCUCCUCUGAAAAAGGGAAGUGUUUUCCUCUGAAAAUGGAACCGAAACCUAGGAUAGAGAUGAGAACUCUGCUCUCCUGGUUCCUCCUGCCUGACCCUGCACCUCUGCUUUUUAUCGGAGAUGAGCUGAAACCCCUUCAUAAUCUGCUGUCAUCUUACAAACAGAAUUCCGUCUCUUCUGCAUAGCAGACUAGGAAAGCAGACGUAGUCCCAUGUUAGGGUAAGUGUGAUUAAAUUCAAAGAGUUUGUAACCUGUUCUCAAUCACAGAAGUGUCUCGUGUGGCAGCCACAGCCAGAAAUCUCCAUGUCUGCCUCCUGACUCCAAGGCUAGUGCUCUUUCUGCUGGAGAAUACAGCACAACAAGCACACUCCCCUGCAGCUAUUAGAUAAUGACGAAGACAGACACACACACAGAGACACAUGUACAGACAUAUGCGUGUACGUACACCCACCAUUCACUUCUACAGGGGUUGAGAGGGACCAGUUCUGAGUGUAACAGCUUACUCAGGGUAAUAAUUCUUACCUCGUGAAGUAUCUCAUUUACAAGGUAAAGGUUUUGCUUUUAGAGUCCUAAGAUUCCAUCUGGCUCACUCUAGGUCUCAAAGACGUGUUUCUCACUCCUUUUUCUGUUAGAAACUUCUCAACUGCCUUUUUCCAUGUGUGAUAAUCUCAGGACAAUAACCCACAUUUACUGGACCCAUUGGAACCGGGACGCGUUUGAGUGUUCUAACACAAACCAAAUUAGUCCUCUGCUUUGAGUAGGUCUUUUCAUUAUCCUGAUUUUGCAGAUUUGGAAAAUAAGGCCAAGGACUUUCAUAUUCUUGCUUAGGGUCCCAUAGCCAGUCAGUGAUGGAACCAGAUUUCAAAUCCAUGAAGUCUGGCCUCGAUUGCUAAGCAGUCCAUCCAUGAUCAGCACCUGAGCGUCAGCUGGGGAGCGGGCAUCCUCGUAGAUAACGUUCUUCUAUUAACUUUGUAGCUAUGCUGAACUCCAGAAGGGUAAGGCUCCAGCUAGGACAAAAAUCAGGAAAAAAGACACCAUUCAGCGUGGGAGAAGGUGAUGGAGAGGCUGUGACCACCAGCUGGCCAGUGAGACCCUCCUUUGGGAUGUGUUCUCUGUCCCCCCACUCUGGUCCCAUAGCAGGAGCCAUUUUCAAGGACUCCACCUUGAGACAGCACACCGUUGUAGAGACCACCUGGCCAGCAGACGUGGCUGGACCCCGUCAGGCCUCUCUACAAAUGGAAGAUCCUGGCGGGUGGAUGCAGAGACCUCCUCGCUGGGUGGUACCCAAGGCAAGCCUGGCAAGUUUUGGAGUGACAAGGCACUGUUACUGGAUCCCAGUGGCCAGGGCUCCUUGACAAGAGCGGGAACCAGCAUGGAGCCAGCUGGUGGCAGGUGUGUCCGUGUAAGAGGCCAGGCUGAUACGGAAACACUGCCCGAGCCACAUCACAGGGGAAGAGAAAUGUGUGGGAUAAGACUGAGUUUUUGGAGUCAAAGUUUCUCAUCUUUGUUACAUUACAAAGGAACCAGGAGCACCUUCUUUAUGGAUUACACUGGGCCAAGGACGGGCUGUCUGGAAAUCAGUGCCGUGACUUUCACCCCUGCUGGUCUUUGACUCUGGAGAAGAGUCAGGCGUGCAGCUGGCAAGAGAUAUGCCUCUGCAUGUGUUUGCAGGCUGAGCUCUUGAUGGAAUGUGUGUGGGGCUGCAUUACAAAACGCUAAGCAAGCAGAUCGCUCUUUGAGCACAUUUACGUAGCUUCUGUUUCUACCUUUGAUAAAGCACAGAUUAAUUCCAUUUGCAUACCUCCUCCUUCACUCGGAACAUUUGCCAGCAUUCAUUAAGACCAUGUUAGCAAAACAUCCUCUACUGAACCAUCAAAGCCUACAAAUGACUUGUUACUAGGGAGCUUAAUUCUGGUGGAGGUGGAGAAGGAAGGAAGAGUAGAGAUGGAUGUGAGAUAGCGCACGUGUGCUUACGUACAUGCUGAGCGCGCUCGCUGGCCCCCGCUCAAAGACGAGAACAUCUCUCUGAGGGCGAUCAUGGUUGACGGGGCGAGAAGUGCAAUGUUUUCAGAUUAAUUUUGAAAACAGAGCUGGCCAGACCUGCUGACAGAUUGUACACAGGUAAGAGGAGAAGUGAGCAGUUAAGGGAAUCACCUAAGUGUGGAGCUGAAGUUGACCAGUGGUGCCCACGACUGAGUGGCUGAACUUUUGGGAGAAAGGGAUCAGAACUUUGUUUCGACUACGAGAUAUCACAGUAGAGGUUGAGUAGACACGUGCAGAAACCGGAGCCUGUGACUUAGCGUGUAGAUAAAUACAAAGGUCGAGCCCCAGGGCACCACCAUUUAUAGGAGGAAGAUAACAAGCGAAGGAGAGACCGGAAAGGCAGGAGGAGAUUUCAGGAGAGCAUGGCCUCCCAGCAAAUAAACUGAAGCCACAUUCAACCAUGUGGAAUGCUGACCAGAGACGGAGUCUGGUGAGUCUACAGAGUCGGCCACAGGUCUUUGUAAGGUGGAGGACGGGUUCCAUCGGGGUGCUGGGGGCAGAAGUUUGAGAAGAGACUCAGAAGUAAAGAAGUGGAGAAAUGGUCAGAACAGACAAUAAUGCUGAGUUUUACCACAAAAAGGAUGUAAAAAUUAUCUGUCUCUUCUAGAAAUGGUAAAAAUAUUAACGAUCAUUAAGAAUCUAUCCUUUCAUUCUGAAAUAAUACUUUAUUACUUUAAUUUUAUUUUACUGCUGGGUUUUAUUUGCCUGGAAUUUAUGAUGGGCUUUUAUAGCAAUGUUUCAAAGGGAGACUUUGGUUUUUUUCUUAUGCUCUCUUCAUCUGGGUUAUAUACUGGGUUUAGAGCAUUUCUGUAUUUCUGUGUUUAAGCCCGUUUAUAAAGGAUAAGAAUUUUGAAAAGAUAAAAUCACUUACAGAACUGUCUUAGCAGAGCACCUUCCCAGAAGUAAUUCCUUAACUACUUCCCUGUCCCCCAGUUUGGUCCAUGGCUACUUUCCCAUGCAACUUUUCUAAUUAUUUCAUUUAAUUUAUGACAUUUUUGUAUUAUAAAAAUGUUUGUAUUCAGAUUUCCUAAUAAAGCAACAUUUUUCUAUUGUA